UAGAGAGUGAGUUGAGCAUAGUUUGUGAUUUUUAGGGCCUCUAAAAGUAUUAAAGCAGCGGCAGCCGCUGCACGCAGACAUGACGGCUAGGCUAAAACAGUAAGGUCAAGUUGUUUGGACAGAAAGGCUACAGGGUGCGGUCCUGGCUCUUGUGUAAGAAUUCUGACCGCACUAACCAUGCCUAGGAAGGAAAGGAGUUGUUGUUUUGUAAGUGAUUGAGGUUUGGGAGAUUAAUCGGACACGAUCAGCAGGGAAAG
rnacentral:lncRNA from 10 species